UCAUGUUGCAUCUUGCAUCUUUUUGAAUCACUAAUUAACUCUGGCAAUAUAUACUUCCUUGUUAUUCAAGAAAUGAAGAUAUUGAAGGGAUUGGUUAAGAUUUUACACAAAAACUUCUUCAGCUAUACAAAUAUUUACCCUGUUUCACACAGUAGCUGUAUCAAUUUACUCCAGGGAUUGCAAAUUGUUUUAAUUAUAAAGGGUUUAUGGUACAAUAAAUUAUAUACACAAUCCGUCAGUAAAAGUAUCAAAUCAUGAGGCAAAAAAAUUUAUCCCAUAUCCCCAUAUUACAACACAACAUAAUAGGGUUAUUAGACUUUGUGGAAGUAAAAUCCUCUUUUAACUUCCAAACGAAGCCUUAAUCGAGCAGCUAAAUCAACCUCACUUUAUGAGCCGUAGAGAAAUGCUUUCCAGCAGCAACCAUGGUCGCCUCCGGGCCAUCUUUCAAGGUCUUUUCACUUUCACUUUUGCCCGUUUUGAAAAUACCGAAGCACGAAGCCAAUGAUGUGAAGAAGAACGAUGAGCCCCCGCUCUCUUUUCUGGUCUUACUCAUCUCGCUUUUAUGUGAAUACGAUCGAUCACUCUUUAUUAACAGAAACGAUAAUUUUAAAAAGAAUAUGCGCGCGCUCUCUCUCUGUAAAUGGAACUCAAAGGUACCCUACAUUUGCCCACCUCCUUGAGAAAUCAACUUAUAUAACACAAAUUUCCUUUGGGAACAAGUUAAACCGUGUCUCCAUUGACCAUGACUUACUUCUGUGGUACGGCGUCUGAAACAGUUAAACUCAUCGGUGAUGAAAAUUCUACGAGCUAUCAUUUUCAUAUCAUUAGUCAUUUGACUCGAGAAGAGUUCAAACCACGUGAUCAAUUCGUAAAUUUCUCCUGAAUUUGCAGUUCAAUGAAAUAUUGUCGUAUUGGAGGAGAAAAGAGGAAGAGAGAUGAAGAGGGUAGUUUAAAACAUAAAUGUUAUAUAUAUAUGACUUGAUCACUUGGUAGCUUAUAAUAUCAAAGUGUUUAUUUUCUCUAUAAUUAAAUGCUGAAUGCCAGUUUAGCAUUAUGACUUGAUAUGAGGCUGCAGAAUAAAGUGUCAAGUCCUUUUUCAAGUUUGAUCAUCAUUUAUGCUGUUAUUGAUGGAGGUUCCAAUCUUAACAAAAUAGAUGUCAAGAACAUAUGAAUUUUUAGAAAGAGUUUUAGGGUCAGUUUGGUAGUAUUGCAGGUUUUUAAAUAAUUAUUGUAGGUUGUGUUAUAUAAAUAAUUCAAGGUAAAGAGAAUCGGUUAAAUAUGUGAUAAAGCCUGUUUCUAAAAGUGUUGUGUGUUUUAAAAAUAAUCUUAUAUUUUUAAUAAAUCUUACUGUAAAAAUAUAAAUAAUUAAAUUGGACAUAAUGUUAAAAUUUAUUUAUACAUCAAUGGACAUGAUAUAAAGUUUUUUUUUUUUUACAGUGUAUAUGUAAUAAAUGAUAAUUGAAAUAAAUAUUUGUAUUAUUAGUGUUAGAUUUUAGAAUAAUACAUGAGAAUAUAUACGAGUUUGUAUUAAGUAUAAAAUUGGUUUCAAAAUUGGAUUUGAAAAGAUAAUCAUUUCUUUUUUAAAAAAAAUUUAUUGUAGAAUCAGAUGAUUUUGCUAAAAGUGAUUUUUCAAAAAAUUUACCAAACACAAAAAUUAAUUUUAGCUUUUCAAAAUCAAUUUUGAAUCGAUAAAAAACAAUCUCAAACGAAACCUUAGUCAUGUUGCAUCUUGCAUCUUUUUGAAUCACUAAUUAACUCUGGCAAUAUAUACUUCCUUGUUAUUCAAGAAAUGAAGAUAUUGAAGGGAUUGGUUAAGAUUUUACACAAAAACUUCUUCAGCUAUACAAAUAUUUACCCUGUUUCACACAGUAGCUGUAUCAAUUUACUCCAGGGAUUGCAAAUUGUUUUAAUUAUAAAGGGUUUAUGGUACAAUAAAUUAUAUACACAAUCCGUCAGUAAAAGUAUCAAAUCAUGAGGCAAAAAAAUUUAUCCCAUAUCCCCAUAUUACAACACAACAUAAUAGGGUUAUUAGACUUUGUGGAAGUAAAAUCCUCUUUUAACUUCCAAACGAAGCCUUAAUCGAGCAGCUAAAUCAACCUCACUUUAUGAGCCGUAGAGAAAUGCUUUCCAGCAGCAACCAUGGUCGCCUCCGGGCCAUCUUUCAAGGUCUUUUCACUUUCACUUUUGCCCGUUUUGAAAAUACCGAAGCACGAAGCCAAUGAUGUGAAGAAGAACGAUGAGCCCCCGCUCUCUUUUCUGGUCUUACUCAUCUCGCUUUUAUGUGAAUACGAUCGAUCACUCUUUAUUAACAGAAACGAUAAUUUUAAAAAGAAUAUGCGCGCGCUCUCUCUCUGUAAAUGGAACUCAAAGGUACCCUACAUUUGCCCACCUCCUUGAGAAAUCAAC
rnacentral:lncRNA from 1 species